rnacentral:rRNA from 1 species
AGAGUUUGAUCAUGGCUCAGAACGAACGCUGGCGGCAGGCCUAACACAUGCAAGUCGAACGCUGUAGCAAUACAGAGUGGCAGACGGGUGAGUAACGCGUGGGAACCUUCCCAAUGGUGCGGAAUAGCCCAGGGAAACUUGGGGUAAUACCGCAUAAGCCCUUAGGGGGAAAGAUUUAUCGCCAUUGGAUGGGCCCGCGUCGGAUUAGCUAGUUGGUGAGGUAAUGGCUCACCAAGGCAACGAUCCGUAGCUGGUUUGAGAGAAUGACCAGCCACACUGGGACUGAGACACGGCCCAGACUCCUACGGGAGGCAGCAGUGGGGAAUCUUGGACAAUGGGCGCAAGCCUGAUCCAGCCAUGCCGCGUGAGUGACGAAGGCCUUAGGGUUGUAAAGCUCUUUUGCCGGGGACGAUAAUGACGGUACCCGGAGAAUAAGUCCCGGCUAACUUCGUGCCAGCAGCCGCGGUAAUACGAAGGGGACUAGCGUUGUUCGGAAUUACUGGGCGUAAAGCGCACGUAGGCGGAUUUGUAAGUCAGGGGUGAAAUCCCGGGGCUCAACCUCGGAACUGCCUUUGAUACUGGGUACCUAGAGUAUGGAAGAGGUAAGUGGAAUUCCGAGUGUAGAGGUGAAAUUCGUAGAUAUUCGGAGGAACACCAGUGGCGAAGGCGGCUUACUGGUCCAUUACUGACGCUGAGGUGC